CCUUAACCGACGAAGGGGGGCGCUUACCACGGUAGGGAUUCGUGACUGGGGUG
rnacentral:rRNA from 1 species